AGUUCGAUCCUGGCUCAGAUUGAACGCUGGCGGGAUGCUUUACACAUGCAAGCUCGUCUGGCAGCACGGACUUCGGUCUGGUGGGCGAGUGGCGGAAUGGGUGAGUAAUGUAUCGAAACGCCCAUGGGGAUAACUACGCGAAAGCGUAGCUAAUACCGGGCAUACGCCCUUCGGGGGAAAGCGGGGGACCUUUCGGGCCUCGCACUAUUAGAGCGGCCGAUAUCGGAUUAGCUAGUUGGUGGGGUAACGGCUCACUGGCUAUGACGAUCCGUAGUCGGUUUGAGAGGACGACCAGCCACACUGGGACUGAGACACGGCCCAGACUACGGAGGCAGAAAAUUUUGGACAAUGGGGGAAACCCUGAUCCAGCCAUCCCGCGGUGUGCGAUGAAGGCCUUCGCUGUAAAGCACUUUUGGCAGGAAAGAAACGGCACGGGAUAAUACCCCGUGCAACUGACGGUACCUGCAGAAUAAGCACCGGCUAACUACGUGCCAGCAGCCGCGGUAAUACGUAGGUGCGUUAAUCGGAAUAUUGCUAAAGUGUGGUGCAGGCGGUUCGGAAAGAAAGAUGUGAAAUCCCAGAGCUUAACUUUGGAACUGCAUUUUUAACUACCGAGCUAGAGUGUGUCAGAGGGAGGUGGAAUUCCGCGUGUAGCAGAAAUGCGUAGAUAUGCGGAGAACACCGACGGCGAAGGCAGCCUCCUGGGAUAACACUGACGCUCAUAUCGAAAGCGUGGGGAGCAAACAGAUUAGAUACUCCGGGCAUCAUUCAAACGAUGUCAACUAGCUGUUGGGGCCUUCGGGCCUUGGUAGCGCAGCUAACGCGUGAAGUUGACCGCCUGGGGAGUACGGUCGCAAAGAUUAAAACUCAAAGGAAUUGACGGCACCCGCACAAGCGGUGGAUGAUGUGGAUUAAUUCGAUGCAACGCGAAAAACCUUACCUACCCUUGACAUGUCUGGAAUCCCGAAGAGAUUUGGGGAUGCCGCAAGAGAACCUGGAACACAGGUGCUGCAUGGCUGUCGUCAGCUCGUGUCGAGAUGUUGGUUAAGUCCCAACGAGCGCAACCCUUGCUGCUGGUUGCUACGAAAGGGCACUCUAAUGAGACUGCCGGUGACAAACCGGAGGAAGGUGGAUGUCAAGUCCUCAUGGCCUGGCGGUAGGGCUUGCCACGUCAGUACAAUGGUCGGGACAGAGGGUCGCUAACCCGCGGAGGGGAGCCAAUCCCAGAAACCCGAUCGUAGUCCGGAUCGCAGUCUGCAACUCGACUGCGUGAAGUCGGAAUCGCUAGUAAUCGCGGAUCAGCAUGUCGCGGUGAAUACGUUCCCGGCUCCCAUACCGCCCGUCACACCAUGGGAGUGGGUUUUAACAGAAGUAGUUAGCCUAACCGUAAGGAGGGCGAUUACUACGGUAGGAUCUGAGGACUGGGUGAAGUCGUAACAAGGUAG
rnacentral:rRNA from 1 species